rnacentral:rRNA from 1 species
UCGAGAAUUUUUCACAAUGGGGGAAACCCUGAUGGAGCGACGCCGCGUGGAGGAUGAAGGCCUUCGGGUCGUAAACUCCUGUCAUGCGGGAACAAGAAAGUGAUAGUACCGCAAGAGGAAGAGACGGCUAACUCUGUGCCAGCAGCCGCGGUAAUACAGAGGUCUCAAGCGUUAUUCGGAUUCAUUGGGCGUAAAGGGUGCGUAGGUGGCGAUGUAAGUCUGACGUGAAAUUUUGGGGCUUAACCCCAACAAGCGUUGGAUACUGCGUUGCUUGAGGAUUGUAGAGGAGAGUGGAAUUCACGGUGUAGCAGUGAAAUGCGUAGAUAUCGUGAGGAAGACCAGUUGCGAAGGCGACUCUCUGGGCAACUCCUGACACUGAGGCACGAAGGCCAGGGGAGCAAACGG